rnacentral:lncRNA from 1 species
CAACGUUCUGAAGUAUAGAGCCAAAAUAAGAAAUAAUGCUUCACUGUCCCAAUAAUUAUGGAGGGCACUGUAUGUACAGUAUACUGAGAAGGCACAGAAGGGGGGAUAGGACAGUCAAUCAUAGACCAUUGGCAUCCUUGAAGAGGUGUGUUUUUAGGAAGUUUUUGAAUGAAAUGAAUGCAUUUGCAUGUGUGGGGGGAGUGCAUUCCAGUUGCCUGGUGGCAAAGCAGCUGAAGGACCGGGCACCCACGGUGGAGAGGCAGAAUGGGGGAGUGACAAGGAGACCAGCAGAGUUGAAGCGGAGGGAGCAGGAGGGGGAUAGGCUGGGAGAAGGUCAGAGAGGCAGGUGCGUGGUUGGUUGUGGAGGGCUUUGUAGGUGAGGAAAGGUCGCUGGUUGGAAUACCCGAGCCGACAAGGUAUUAUUCCUGCACUGUUGGAGAUAGAAACACCAGCGAUAACAUCUGCAGAUCUGUAAUCAGGAGCAUCGUGUGACGUGGGAUUCUGUUGGCAGAGCACUGCCCAUGAGCAAGCAGACUUCUCUUGAACCUCCACUAUCCCAGAAACCCUCUCGCUGGAAGUCCAUUUGUUCACGAUAGACCCGCGCAACGGAAAGGCAGUUAACAUGUCUGACAAGAAACAGACUGUAGAUUUGGGAUUAUUAGAGGAGGACGAUGAGUUUGAAGAAUUCCCAGCCGAGGAUUGGACUGGGUUGGAUGAGGAUGAAGAUGCCCACGUGUGGGAAGACAACUGGGAUGAUGACAAUGUAGAGGACGACUUCUCUAAUCAACUAAGAGCGGAGCUGGAGAAACAUGGGUACAAGAUGGAGACGUCUCAGUAGCAGCCGAGUCCACACGGCUGUUGAGAUCGGAUAGGGAUGGACUUGAAUUUAUAACAUCAUACUUGAAAUGGAGGAUGUUUAACUUGCUAAACUCGCACACAUUUUUGUACGAAACCUUAGCACGAGUAAAGUGUUUCACGAGUAAAUUCCCCGCUCAGAGUUAUGUAGACAUUAAAGAUGGUUAUUUUCAAGUAUCUGUCCACAUACUCUUAUUUAUGCACAUUUUCCAUCUUUAUAUAUAAUCAGCUGGUCAGUUACUGCUUUAAUAUAAAUCCAUAUUUUACAGGUUUUGUGUUUUUACUAUAAUGACCACUUUGGUCCAGGGCUUUGGUUUAACAUCCAUUUAAAUACCACUUUUUGUUAGAGCCAUUGAUUUAAAUGUAGCUUUACUGCCUGCGCAACACUUAACCUACGUUUUAAUGGUCCAGUAAUUAUUGGCCUGUGUGACACACUCCAUCUAUUUUAAUCCACAAUAUGAAUGUUGCAUGAUGUUAGUAAAGAGUCAAGUGCUGCACUGCACAUUUUUCCAUUGUAAUGCUCUUAGUUUGAAAACUACCACCCAUUUUUCACAUGGUCACUCUCCAAUAUUAAACCAUUCAAUGAACAGGUGUGUGUCAGUCAGAAGUGGAUGGGGAGACACACACACACGCAGCGAGAUGUGUGCAUAAAUUGUGUGUACAGUGUGUGGGUGUGUGUGUGUAGGAUGAUCCACACACAGGGAUGCGUGUUCCCCUCUGCUGUCUACAUUCCCUCUGAGCUCAUGGCGUUGGGGCUGGGUCUCAGUCUGAAGGAGAGAUUAUCCACUGCCGUGUUUGUCAGGGGCAGGGAGGUGGUCUCAGCAUGGGGGCCCCUGCCCUGCCUGGGCCUGCCCUACUCCCGACCAGGCCCUGCUUUUCCGGCUCUGCACAGCAGGGACCCCUGCACUGAACCGAGGCCAAUUUAGCCCAGCCACACUCGCCCCUGCAUUUGUGGACUCUCAGUCCCUCUGUCUUAAAGAGAAGAAAUGGAUGCCAGUAAAACCUGCUGUAUAAGAGCUGCUUCCUCUCCUCCAGUGUUGCUCCCUCUGCUCUUUAUAUGUUGCUGGUAGACCUGCGUUAGCUUCUGUGGGAAUAGCAGUUAGGAAAGUUUUCUGCACAUACUGUUUUCCAGUGUUUCUCUACAUAUUAUGGUUGUAUUAUUAGAUACAAUCCUGAUUUCCUGUUCAAAACAAAAUGGGUUGAUUUAUCUCGUCUAUCCUCCACCACUAUAGGCAAAACAGACCAUCCUGUCAUCUGUCUUUUCCAGAUGAUUUUACAUCUAUGAUCUAUUGCUCAUGGCUGUCGUUCGUAAUGGUGUCUUUUUAAGGUAUGUUCUCUGAUAUUUGUGAAGUUGCACAGGUGUAAGUCCUCAAGAUGAGGGUAUCUCUCCAGAGGGUAUAACUCCCUCUUCACCAGUGAUUAUGCCAAACACUCGUCUGCAGACCACAAUCCAACCGCUCCCUUGUGUGUAAAGCCCUUAUGACACGUUCUGAUCUCUCCAACUGUUCAGAAUGGAAUUUCAAUUAGUCCAAAAUGAACAUUUGGUGUCUUUAGACUUUAUAGACCCCAUUUGAACUUGCAGUUGUGGGUUCUACUAGUGAAAUAUAAAAUGUAUACAUUUUGACACAUUAUUAAAUGGAGGAUGUGGGACUAAGAUUGACACAAUACACAAAGAUGCUCACGUUUACUUAUGCCGUUAAGCUAAGUGCCAAGAGCCGGAUCAUUAUUUUAAUUGUUGGAAAGGCAACGGAGUGAGAGAAUCGGUAAGUGUGAGAAAUGGAGAACACAGCCAUUUUGUUUGUGCUGAGAGCGGCAGGUUGUCUCCCUGUGUUGGGGUUUGAGCAGGGCCUCUGUGCCCCCCCCCAAUUGCUUUUCAUUUGCCUAACUUUUGUCAUUCAUUUAUGAGCCACAUAAUUCACCUUGACAUGGGCAGUCUGCCCACUUUUACCAAUAUUAAUGUGUCAACAAUCACAUUUCUAGUUUGAACUGAACCCCAAUGAGGAUGUAUUUUUGGAAGGUAACAGGAUUUCAAUUUGGAACACUGUUUCAUCAAUAGACUGCUA